rnacentral:rRNA from 1 species
CCUACGGGAGGCAGCAGUGGGGAAUAUUGCACAAUGGGGGAAACUCUGAUGCAGCGACGCCGCGUGAGUGAAGAAGGAUUUCGGUAUGUAAAGCUCUAUCAGUAGGGAAGAAAAUGACGGUACCUGAUUAAGAAUCCCCUGCUAGCUACGUGCCAGCAGCCGCGGGAUUACGUAGGGGGCAAGCGUUAUCCGGAUUUACUGGGUGUAAAGUGAGCGUAGACGGUGAUGCAAGUCAGAAGUGAAAGCCCCGGGCUCAACUCCGGGAGUGCAUUUGAAACUGUGUAACUGGAGUGCAGGAGAGGUAAGUGGAAUUCCUGGUGUAGCGGUGAAAUGCGUAGAUAUAAGGAGGAACACCAGUGGCGAAGGCGGCUUACUGGACUGUAACUGACGUUGAGGCUCGAAAGCGUGGGGAGCAAACAGGAUUAGAUACCCCUGUAGUC